CAUGACUGGGGUGAAGUCGUAACAAGGUAACCGUAGGGGAACCUGCGGUUGGAUCACCUCCUUACCUUAAAGAAGC
rnacentral:rRNA from 4 species